UACGUAGGGUGCGAGCGUUAAUCGGAAUUACUGGGCGUAAAGCGUGCGCAGGCGGUAAGCUAAGUCUGAUGUGAAAGCCCCGGGCUCAACCUGGGAAUGGCAUUGGAAACUGGCUUGCUGGAGUGUGGCAGAGGGGGGUGGAAUUCCGCGUGUAGCAGUGAAAUGCGUAGAGAUGCGGAGGAACACCGAUGGCGAAGGCAGCCCCCUGGGCCAACACUGACGCUCAGGCACGAAAGCGUGGGGAGCAAACAGG
rnacentral:rRNA from 1 species